rnacentral:lncRNA from 1 species
CAGACGGUUGUAGCCAAAGAUGCCUAUGUGACGGAAGCACCACGCAGUCCUGAAGACGUGUGCCGGGACACCCGGGGCUCCUUCACGCGUGGACAGGGCACGCUGCUGUUUUGUUCUUCCAGGAGCUUCCCAGGGAGCUCUGGGAUUCACUUGCGCCCGUGGUUCAUUUGCAGUUUACAAAGCUGGUAUAUGUUAAGAACCAGUGGAAAUGUCUCAGAAGACGUUUGUUUGGUUGUGUUUUCUUUGUUGGUUUUUAACGGUGGUGAACAGAUGGCAAUGCCCGUUUCUGCUUUAACAAGAUACCCUAACUGUACGUAUAUGUUGUACAUAUCUAGAUACAUGGGACUGUGUGUGUCUGUAUGUGUUUGAAGCUUCGUGACUCUUCAUUUGGACUUCCAUGUAUGUCUUGCACACAUAGAAUUCCUUGUUUAAUGUCGAGGAUACUUAGCCACAGACAAUCAGUUGAUAAAUGUAGAGGUAAGAGUGACUUUUUCCUUGUGUGCCUUUGGCCAAGAUUCUCAACCCUGAUUGCAUAACAGACUUAUCAGGGGAGCUUUUAAAACAUGCCUGGGUCCCACCCCGGGCCGGUUUAAACCAGUCUCCUCUGGGUGGGAGAUUGAUUUACGUUUUCCCAGGUAGAGACAGUAAUGCACAAGUAGGACUGGGGACCACUAAUCCGAGUGUGUCUUUCUAUUCAUUUGGAAGUAAAAGUGUACAGAGGACAUUGGUGAUGGAGAACGGGCCAUUUUUAAGACAGUUACUGGCCUGCUGCUGUUAUAGCGUAUAAUGAAACCAAGCCAGGAGAACGAGUUUAUCAACGUUGAAGGGUCGCUCGCCCUUCAGGAGAGAACUUCAUAGCACAAUGUCUUUCUAGGAGAUGUUUUUAAUGAUUUAGUAUUUUACAACAUUUGUUUACCAUAUUUUGAUACUCCAUUUUUGCUAUCUGCCAGGUUUUAUUAAAAAGAGGACUAUGUAUUAUUUUCUAAAGAAACUCAUAUUUUUGUACAAAAUUAUGUUUCCAAGUAAGGAAGAAGUAGAUUUAGGGUAAGGCAGAACAUAAGCAGUGUUUGCCCGUGGAUGGGUCAGUGUUCCAAAGCCCGUGGUGGCCACAGGCGUGCCCCACCAUACUGCCCUCCUGUGCUGGCACGGCCUCAGCAGCAUCUCACCCAGUAACUCUCACCUGACACUUUAAAGAAGGAAAAAGAAGUUCUGUGGUCAUGACUUUAUUUUGCUUUUGUCGAACGCUUUUAGAAGAACCAAAGUUUCAAACGCCAGAAUGUCUAAGUGUCUUGGUGUCCUCACGGAAGGUGGAAGGGCGAAGGGGUCAGUCACCUGACGGCUUCCUUUGCUUCCGAGUCAUUACACAAUCGCAUCAUAACCCAGACGCUUAGGGCCCAGACCCUGUUAAGGGGCGUGCCCUCCCAAGCUCUGAUUGUGGAGCUGUGCGCCCCGCAGCCCUCAGCGUCUCUUGCAGAUGCAAAGUGGUGAAGUUGCUUAAUCGAAUAGGUUGUACCUUUUCCUCUCUGCUCCAGAACCCAGGCUUCAGGGCUCUGCCCAGGCUGCCACUCCUCAGCUGCCCUCCUCCAGGCCGGCAGGAACAGUCUUACAGAUUUUCAAAGACAAAGACAGCCAGGGAACAGUUUCUAGUUUCUGACCCACGGUAGAGUCACACAGACAUAGGUGGAGAUCCACUCUGAAGACCUGACAUUUUUUGUAUUGGGGAAUCGUCAUCAAAAACAAAAAGAGGGAAGUAGAAAGCUGUCGCUCACGCUCGCUCGCUAGCACGCCCGUUGCUGGGGGAUGUGCCUCCCUGCCUCUUCUGCAUCUGCAUUUGAGCUUUGUAUCUCAGUAAGCUGCAAACAGUCCUUUCUGUGAAAGGAUCGUCAUGUCGGGAUGAUAACUGAAAGUAUGUUAAAAAAAAGAAAAGAAAAGCGGUGUUAUUUUGUAAUUAUUUCUUAUAGGUGUUUCAUGGUAAGAUCAACAGUCAAUAAAGUUAACUUUUUUGCCUUU